rnacentral:rRNA from 1 species
UUCCUACGGGAGGCAGCAGUGAGGAAUAUUGGUCAAUGGCCGCAGGGCUGAACCAGCCAAGUCGCGUGAGGGAUGACGGUCCUAUGGAUUGUAAACCUCUUUUGUCAGGGAGCAAAGGGCGCCACGUGUGGCGCUUUGCGAGUACCCGAAGAAAAAGCAUCGGCUAACUCCGUGCCAGCAGCCGCGGUAAUACGGAGGAUGCGAGCGUUAUCCGGAUUUAUUGGGUUUAAAGGGUGCGUAGGCGGAAGGUUAAGUCAGCGGUCAAAUGUCGGUGCUCAACACCGGCCUGCCGUUGAAACUGGUCU